rnacentral:rRNA from 1 species
UACGAAGGGGGCUAGCGUUGCUCGGAAUCACUGGGCGUAAAGCGCACGUAGGCGGCUUUGUAAGUUAGAGGUGAAAGCCCGGAGCUCAACUUCGGAAUUGCCUUUAAGACUGCAUCGCUUGAAUCAUGGAGAGGUCAGUGGAAUUCCGAGUGUAGAGGUGAAAUUCGUAGAUAUUCGGAAGAACACCAGUGGCGAAGGCGACUGACUGGACAUGUAUUGACGCUGAGGUGCGAAAGCGUGGGGAGCAAACAGG